rnacentral:rRNA from 1 species
UUAGACGGGACCCCGCACAAGCGGUGGAUCAUGUUGUUUAAUUCGAUGAUACGCGAAGAACCUUACCAGGUCUUGACAUCCCCUGCAAAGCUAUGGAGACAUAGUGGAGGUUAUCAGGGAGACAGGUGGUGCAUGGUUGUCGUCAGCUCGUGUCGUGAGAUGUUGGGUUAAGUCCCGCAACGAGCGCAACCCUUAUUGCUAGUUACCAUCAUUGAGUUGGGGACUCUAGCGAGACUGCCAGUGAUAAACUGGAGGAAGGUGGGGAUGACGUCAAAUCAUCAUGCCCCUUAUGACCUGGGCUACAAACGUGAUACAAUGGCUGAAACAAAGGGCAGCGAAGCAGUGAUGUGGAGCGAAACCCAAAAAAGCAGUCUCAGUUCGGAUUGAAGUCUGCAACUCGACUUCAUGAAGUCGGAAUCGCUAGUAAUCGCGGAUCAGAACGCCGCGGUGAAUACGUUCUCGGGGUUU